UACGUAGGGUGCAAGCGUUAAUCGGAAUUACUGGGCGUAAAGCGUGCGCAGGCGGUGAUGUAAGACAGGUGUGAAAUCCCCGGGCUUAACCUGGGAACUGCAUUUGUGACUGCAUCGCUGGAGUGGCGGCAGAGGGGGAUGGAAUUCCGGCGUUGUAAGCAGUGAAAUGCGUAGAUAUGCGGAGGACACCGAUGGCGAAGGCAAUCCCCUGGGCCUGCACUGACGCUCAUGCACGAAAGCGUGGGGAGCAAACAGG
rnacentral:rRNA from 1 species